AUGCUCACUUCAGCAGCAUAUGUACUAAAAUUGAAACAAUACAGAGAAGAUUAGCAUGGUCUUUGUGAAAGGAUAGCAUGCAAAUUCAUGAAGCCUUCCAUAUUUUU